AUGAUGUUGCUUUACUUUAAAAGAAUAAACAGGGACUGUGUGGUCACUGACCACCUUUCUUUUACCACCUAUGAAAGUUUGAAGGGGCACAGACAGGUCCUUCACCUGAUCCAAUGGAAGUUUCGAGAGAGGCAGUUUCUUCUUCCAAUUCCUCAACCUGAAUAUCCAGUAGAAGCUUAUGGAAUAAAACCAGGCUAAGGUGUUGUUCUCAAACAUGUUUAUUUGUAACAGUUUUACAUGGUGUGUUACAGAAAUUAAUGGAAAAUUUCUAAAAAUUUUGCUGUUCUGUUGAAUGCAUUGUACAUAAAGUUAAAAAUAAUGUGUCCAUAUAUGUUAACAAACUGUCAUCUGAGGUAAAGUUAAAGUAGGUCUAGAAAUGUACUGCAACAGUAAUUNNNNNNNNNNNNNNNNNNNNNNNNNNNNNNNNNNNNNNNNNNNNNNNNNNNNNNNNNNNNNNNCCACAGAGUAAACAUUUUUUUUUUUUUUUUUAAAGAAGGUGCCCGGUACAUUACAUGAUGGGGAUUCAGUAGACACAGGGAUGAGUACGAAUUAUCAAAAAAGUCUCGCGGCAUGUAAAGAGAGCUAUGGGGAAUGGGAACAGAAUGACAGGUGGUGUUUCCCUGGUUUCAAAAUUUAAAGUGACAAAUUUCGUGCUAGUGAAGGAUGAGGAAUUAACAGUUGUACACGUGGAUUUUCUAUCAGUCUAACUGGAACUGUGCACACUCCCCAUGGCCUUUUGGUAUCUGCACCUCAGCUCUUAUUUUGAAAUCUCACUGUUUUCCUUGGAUAGGAUACGGUGGUUCUGAGUUCCCCAAACAGUGCUUAUCAGACAGCAGAAUUCAGCCAAUGAUAACAUGGAUGGCAGUUUAAAAUCUUGACUUUAUUUCCCUCACUUUAAUGUAUUACAGGGGCCAUUUUCAUUAAGUUCAGAGCCAGCUACAUUUUCACCCACACUCAAUAACCAAUGACGGAUCCACUGGGCUGUCACUUUCCGCUAUGAAACGAGCUCCAGAUGGUGGGCCUGAAACAGCCACAUCAGCCAGAGUUCACUCUGAAUGUGUCAGAAGCAACCCGCAGAAUCAGUGGAAGGGUGUGAUACUGCAAGACAAACUCAAGACAACCAUAUUGAGGGAGAAGAUAGCACCACUGGUUUAGAAUCAGAAUCACGGACAACAGAGCAAUUUAAGUUACUUCCCUGUGGGAAAUGCCUAUCUCAUCAAAUCCCCAGAAAACGCAAUUGAACUGGUCUCAGGACGACUCUCAUGGUUAUCACACCUUUCCCAUUGUCCCCUUCACGUGGAAGGAUCAGCUCACCCAAAGUAUGCACGUGCCUGGAGAAGUCAUGUCAACCAAAACGUGACAGCUACAGAGAAAGGAAAUGGCCCUUUUCAGCUCUCGGGUUCUUCAGCCUUUCCAUGUUAAGGUGACACAUUUAUUCUGCAAUGGACACUUGCCAGUUAACUGGAAAACAUUUAGAUCCCAGUGACCUGACGGUGUAAAACAUGGGCUUCAAACAGUAACAAGCACCUUGACUUCUCAAUUUUUUCCUUGGUCACCAAGUAUACCUUCUUCCAAAUCAUUUUAGUUUCUGUUGAUACAAAGUAUCCAAGUACACAGGCCGAUGGCAGUCCAUCAUAUCAAGGUAAAUUCUACUUUUCAAAUUUUAAAACCAAGUAAGGAUAAUCAGCCCCACCCCCAAUCCAAUUCAUCCCAUGAUUCUUUAAAGUUUUCUUCUUAGUGUUAAACCAUUCAAUUCAACAUACUGUAACUGCAUAGGAACAUCAGGAAAACACAGUUGACCUGUAGAACAAUAUUCUCUGUAGGGCAAAAAUAUAUAGAUUCUUUAUGAAAAUCAUGUGCUAAACAUACGAACCAAACACUGCACUUUUUGUCUCAUAAAUGUAAAAAAAAGGAAGCUUAAAUUCUUCUGUUUCACGUACAAACAGUCCAGUGAUGUCUACAGGGUCAGUGGGAGUGGAGAGGUGGGAGGGAGUUUCAGAAUCUGAAGGAUAGGCCUUCAGAGCGUGAACUGUCUGUCUUCUUGUUUUACACAGAGGGUUGUACUCUCGCAGAAAGACUUAGAUGAGAGGCUGGAGUCACGUGCUCCCUUCCUGAUCACUAGCUGCUGAUUGGCUGACUGUUCCUGUCAGUUGUCCCUGAACUCCAACUUCCUACCAUAGGCUCCAGAGUAGUUUCCGGAAAGUGAGCCCCGCCCAUCAAGUUUGUCACAUUCUGCACUCAAUCUGCUACCUUCUCUACAGUGUAAUGGCAUUAUUAAAAAAGCAUUUUCAUUAACAUUUAUAUUUACAAAAAAAAAAAAAAACACAAACGGGCAAUUUUUUUUUUUCAUUAGAACUCCUUAAAGCCAUUUCCCUUAAAUAUUUAAAGAGUUUAAUGGUAAGGUUUUUGUUUUUUUUUUAAGUUAUAAAAUAAAAAUCCCAUUUGAAUUUUCUGAUGUACAAAAAGAGAUAGAGAUGAACCAUUGUGACCACAGAAUCAGUUUGUUACUCUGAAUA
ensembl:lncRNA